GUGCUCGCUUUGGCAGCACAUAUACUAAAAUCGAAACAGUACAGAGAAGGUUAGCAUGGCCCCUGCACAAGGAUGACACGCAAAUUUGUGAAGCAUUCCAUAUUAAA
ensembl:snRNA U6 U6 spliceosomal RNA